UGGGGUAUAGCCAAAAGGUAAGGCAGCGGGCUUUGAACCUGCCACGUGUGAGUUCGAGUCUCACUACCCCAC